rnacentral:misc_RNA from 1 species
CUAAGGAGCAUAACAGUAAGAAUAACUUACAAAAACUCUACUCUCUCGUCAUAUUCAGUUUUGAAGGAUUUUCCUUCUAAUAAUAUUUAUUAGGGCCUAUAGCUCAGCUGGUUAGAGCGCACGCCUGAUAAGCGUGAGGUCGAUGGUUCAAGUCCAUUUAGGCCCACCAUUAUAAGGCUGCUAUAGUAGUCUGAUAAAUGAGAUCUUUGAAAAGUAGAUAAAUUCUGUCGUAACAAAUAAAUAAAGCAAAAUUAGAAAUAAUUGAGCGCGUAAAAAGGU